CUUUUCUAUUAUACGUGCUGAGUAUUAUACGGUACAGUCUAUUAAAUAUUAAUUAUGAAAUUAGGAGUAAGCUCCAGGUAAACGUAGGCUUAAUUGUGCUGCAUUUGUAUACCGAUUAGUAUAAUCAGAACCGUAGAUAACAGUGGAAGGAUGCAAUCACGUAGUGCCAUUUACACGUGAGAAGGCAAAAUCGGGGUUAAUUUUUAAUAACUGGCGACACUUCUAAUCCACGACACGUAACUCCACACACGCGUGUACACAUCAGGCAUGCCUCGAGCACAAGGAAAUCCCCAUGAGACGAUUCCGAUUUGCACCCCACCAGCAACAAGAGGUCCUCCAGAGUCACCCUGAAGAGAUAAAAAAUCCUUUUUUUGCCCUGUCCAGCCUGUAGAAAAGUGCAGAUGUUGGCGUUGGUCACUUGGUAGUUCACAUUUAGGCAGGAUUGUUGAUGAAGAACGCGAGUGCGGAGCUGCUGCAGGUGGAAAUCACCGAACCUACCGAUAGCCUUCCCCAUCCGGUCACCACGGCAGGAUAAUUGGCCUGAUUUAUAUUCGACCUGGGCAGAGAAAUAGGUUGGACUCGAGUGUUAUAGGAAAUCGAUUGACUGAGUUGGAUCAGU